GGCCCAUUAACUCAGCUCAUUAGAGCUUGGUGUUAAUGAGGCCAAGGUCAGGGGUUCAUCUGCCAUAUGAGGCAACA
rnacentral:tRNA from 1 species